rnacentral:rRNA from 1 species
UGGCGGCGUGCCUAAUACAUGCAAGUCGAACGAGUUCUCGUUGAUGAUCGGUGCUUGCACCGAGAUUCAACAUGGAACGAGUGGCGGACGGGUGAGUAACACGUGGGUAACCUGCCCUUAAGUGGGGGAUAACAUUUGGAAACAGAUGCUAAUACCGCAUAGAUCCAAGAACCGCAUGGUUCUUGGCUGAAAGAUGGCGUAAGCUAUCGCUUUUGGAUGGACCCGCGGCGUAUUAGCUAGUUGGUGAGGUAAUGGCUCACCAAGGCGAUGAUACGUAGCCGAACUGAGAGGUUGAUCGGCCACAUUGGGACUGAGACACGGCCCAAACUCCUACGGGAGGCAGCAGUAGGGAAUCUUCCACAAUGGACGCAAGUCUGAUGGAGCAACGCCGCGUGAGUGAAGAAGGCUUUCGGGUCGUAAAACUCUGUUGUUGGAGAAGAAUGGUCGGCAGAGUAACUGUUGUCGGCGUGACGGUAUCCAACCAGAAAGCCACGGCUAACUACGUGCCAGCAGCCGCGGUAAUACGUAGGUGGCAAGCGUUAUCCGGAUUUAUUGGGCGUAAAGCGAGCGCAGGCGGUUUUUUAAGUCUGAUGUGAAAGCCCUCGGCUUAACCGAGGAAGCGCAUCGGAAACUGGGAAACUUGAGUGCAGAAGAGGACAGUGGAACUCCAUGUGUAGCGGUGAAAUGCGUAGAUAUAUGGAAGAACACCAGUGGCGAAGGCGGCUGUCUGGUCUGUAACUGACGCUGAGGCUCGAAAGCAUGGGUAGCGAACAGGAUUAGAUACCCUGGUAGUCCAUGCCGUAAACGAUGAAUGCUAGGUGUUGGAGGGUUUCCGCCCUUCAGUGCCGCAGCUAACGCAUUAAGCAUUCCGCCUGGGGAGUACGACCGCAAGGUUGAAACUCAAAGGAAUUGACGGGGGCCCGCACAAGCGGUGGAGCAUGUGGUUUAAUUCGAAGCAACGCGAAGAACCUUACCAGGUCUUGACAUCUUUUGAUCACCUGAGAGAUCAGGUUUCCCCUUCGGGGGCAAAAUGACAGGUGGUGCAUGGUUGUCGUCAGCUCGUGUCGUGAGAUGUUGGGUUAAGUCCCGCAACGAGCGCAACCCUUAUGACUAGUUGCCAGCAUUUAGUUGGGCACUCUAGUAAGACUGCCGGUGACAAACCGGAGGAAGGUGGGGAUGACGUCAAAUCAUCAUGCCCCUUAUGACCUGGGCUACACACGUGCUACAAUGGAUGGUACAACGAGUUGCGAGACCGCGAGGUCAAGCUAAUCUCUUAAAGCCAUUCUCAGUUCGGACUGUAGGCUGCAACUCGCCUACACGAAGUCGGAAUCGCUAGUAAUCGCGGAUCAGCACGCCGCGGUGAAUACGUUCCCGGGCCUUGUACACACCGCCCGUCACACCAUGAGAGUUUGUAACACCCGAAGCCGGUGGCGUAACCCUUUUAGGGAGCGAGCCGUCUAAGGUGGGACAAAUGAUU